GUUUGCUCGAGUAAAAGCGUGAAUGUGUCAUUCAGUGAAAGUGUGCUGGUGUACAAACAUCCAUAAUGCAAACACCAGCUCAAGUGGGUAUCUAAACAUUUAGAGUUAUUGGGAAGACGUGAUCCUCUUGAAAUGAGAAGUGACUAAAUGAAGAGCUCCGGGAUGAAUUUUGCCUCCGGAAAACGAUCUGUUCACUUCAGGGGAUUUUCAGCUGCGUUUAUGCUGUUAUCUAUAUGCGCGCGCGGUGAUGGUGCUGACCAUAACGUUACGGCCAUGGCUGGAAAAGCAGCAGCUCUGCCCUGCAAGUGUCCGCCUGAUUACCCUCCGUAUGUGCUCUGGCAGAAGGCCGUUGGUGCACAGAGGCUCGUGGUAAAUUUCUACGAAGACGACAAUGAAACGGCACCAGAGUUUCGCAACAGAACCGUGCUGGAGCUGAAGACAGGAAACUGUUCUCUUGUGUUCUACAGCGUGCUUCUGUCAGACCAGGGACUGUACGAGUGCUACUAUCAGAAAAGACCUUUAAGACACAACAAAAUCUAUCUGGAGGUCACAGAUAACCAAAGACGAGAUUCAGUUCUGAGCAUCCAGAAAACUGUGGUGUCGUGUUCGGUUUGCGGGAUCCUUGUCAUUGUGAUUGCAGCGGCUGCAUUAUUUGUGGGAAUUAUUCACAAAAAAAAACAUCAAAGGAAUGGAGCAUUCAUUGCAACAUCGACAAGGAGCAUUUAAGAGCUGUCAGUAAUACAGAUCCAGAUCUCUGGUUUUAAAUUGCUUAUCACGGAUGAUAUCGUUACAAAAAUGCAAAACGUGCAGUGUGGGAUUAGAAAAAACAACAAAAUGCACAUGCUCAGACAAGACGGUUCAGUGACCCAUUUAAUUUGCUGAAAAGUCCCUCACACUCCAGCCUGGAAUAUGGUCAAUCAAAGUAAAACACAUUAUGCAAUAUGUAAACAUUACAAGUGAGCAUCAGAGAAAAGAUUCAAAACAAAAUAAUAAUGUACGAUACGCUUUAACAGAUGCUUUCUGUCCAAACAAUUUAUACUUUACUCAUUGUUUUCUCAUUUCCAACUAAACACACUUGCGACAUGAGCAGUGUUCUUGUUAAUAUACAGAGUACACAACCACAACACAGAUGUACAUUCAACUAUGGAAGCUUGUUUCAGCCAUGGAAUAAAACAAUAAAAAGGUAAUUGCGACUUUUUAUCUCACAAUUUUGACUUUUUCUCGUAAAUGCGAGUUUAUGUCUCACAAUUCGGACUUUAUGACUUGCAAUUACGACUUUUUAUCUCACAAUUCGGACUUUUUCUCGCAAUUGCGUGUUUAUAUCUCACAAUUCAGACUUUUUCUCACAAUUCUGACUUUUUCCCACAAUUUCAUGUUAAUAUCUCAAUUCAGAUUUGUUUUUUUGCAAUUACGACUUUUUAUCUCACAGUUCUGACUUUUUCUCGCAAUUUCAUGUUAAUAUCUCAAAUCAGAUUUUAUCUCACAAUUCUGACUUUUUCUGGCAAUUUUGAGUUUAUUUCUCACAAUUUGGACUUUAUAACUUGCAAUUACGACUUAUCCUCGCACAAUUCUGACUUUUUCUCACAAUUGCAUGUUUAUAUCUCACAAAUUGGACUUUUUCUCGCAAUUGCGAGUUUAUUUCUCACAAUUCAGACAUUUUCUCGCAAUUACAACUUUUUUCGCACAAUUCUGACUUUCUCGCAAUUACGACUUUUUAUCGCAUAAUUCUGACUUUCUCACAAUUACGACUUUUUAUCGCACAAUUCUGAAUUUUCUCACAAUUAUGACUUUUUAUCUCACAAUUAGGACUUUUUCUCGCAAUUGCGUGUUUAUAUCUCACAAUUCAGACUUUUUCUCACAAUUACGACUUUUUAUCUCACAAUUCUGACUUUUUCCCACAAUUUCAUGUUAAGAUCUCAAUUCAGAUUUGUUUUUUUGCAAUUACGACUUUUUAUCUCACAGUUCUGACUUUUUCUCGCAAUUUCAUGUUAAUAUCUCAAAUCAGACUUUAUCUCACAAUUCUGACUUUUUCUGGCAAUUUUGAGUUUAUUUCUCACAAUUUGGACUUUAUAACUUGCAAUUACGACUUAUCCUCACACAAUUCUGACUUUUUCCCACAAUUGCAUGUUUAUAUCUCACAAAUUGGACUUUUUCUCGCAAUUGCGAGUUUAUUUCUCACAAUUCAGGUAUUUUCUCGCAAUUACAACUUUUUUCGCACAAUUCUGACUUUCUCGCAAUUACGACUUUUUAUCGCAUAAUUCUGACUUUCUCACAAUUACAACUUUUUAUCGCACAAUUCUGAAUUUUCUCACAAUUACAACUUUUUAUCUCACAAUUCUGACUUUUUCUCGCAAUUUCGAGUUUAUUUCUCACAAUUCAGACUUUAUGACUUGUAAUUCUGACUUUUUUUUCUCACAAUUCUGACUCGCAAUUUCAAGUUAAUAUCGGAAUUCAGAUUUUUUUUCUUGCAAUUAUAACUUUUUAUCUCACAAUUUUGACUUUUUCUGGCAAUUUCGAGUUUAUAUCUCACAAUUCUGAAUUUUUCCUCGCGAUUUAAAUUUUUUAUCUCGAAAUUUGGACUUUUUCUCGCAAUUGUGAGUUUAUCUCUCACAAUUCUGACUUUAUAACUUCAGACUUUUUUGGGGGGGUUUCAAAGGGCAUUACUAAAUGUAGUCAUAGUGCAGGAAUGCACAAGUCCACCAGUGAACCAGAUGUGUGCACUUGUGUGUGUGUGUGUGUGUGAGAGAGAGUGUGUGUGUAAGCUGUAAGCCAUCUCACAGUCCUGCAUUUACAGGAUUUCUAGCAGUUGUAUAUAAUAAAGUUGAUGUAAUAUGGGAUGUUCUGGAGAUGUCUGUUUACUGUACUGGAAAUGAACCCUGUUCUGCUCAACAAACACAUUUUGCAUCAGUUAAACUUAAUUAUAUCACAAACAUGAACAAGUCUUUCUUUUCUGUUUUCCUUUUUUAAAGUCUGAAAUAUGUCAUCUAUGCAGAAACUGUUUGAUUCCAUGUGUUUUGCUGCACUUUUGUAUGCCAUAUACUGUAUACCAUAUCCCAGCUAACAGAAAUAUGUUCCAAGAAUGUUUUGUUAAUGUUCCCAUUGAGUGAUGAAAUGUUAUUUCUGAAUGUUCUGUGAAACUUCAAAACGGCCAGUUUACUUUUUAAUCUGUUUUAAAAAUGUUUUUUCUUGGUAAUCAGAAGGUUAAAGGAAUAUUCCAUUUUAUCGUUCAUCAAACAUUAUUGGAACGUUACUUUUGAAUGUUCUCUGAACAUUCCGAAACAAGUAGUAACAUUUAAAAAAUGUUAGACUUAUGUCCAACGAAGACAUUUCAGAAAAAAAGAAAAAAGAAAAAAAAAACUUUCAAUGAAUGGUCUAAACAAUGAGAACAUUAUUAUAGACCAGAUAACUCUGAACAAACGUUUUAUUAAUGUUACAGAAAGAACGUUGAGAGAACCUUGCCAGAAUGUUCUGAGAACUGUUAGCUGGGAUACGAGUAACAAAAAGUCUAAAAAGAUGUGUGAAAAUAAAAACUUUAUAUAAUACUGAAUAAAAUGUGAGUGGUGUACUAGA